UGGGGGAUAUUGCGCAAUGGGGGAAACCCUGACGCAGCAACGCCGCGUGAAGGAAGAAGGCCUUCGGGUUGUAAACUUUUGUCUUUUGGGAAGAAGAAUGACGGUACCAAAGGAGGAAGCCACGGCUAACUACGUGCCAGCAGCCGCGGUAAUACGUAGGUGGCGAGCGUUGUCCGGAAUUACUGGGUGUAAAGGGCGUGUAGGCGGGUAGAUAAGUCAGAUGUGAAAUACCGGGGCUCAACCCCGGGGCUGCAUUUGAAACUGUCAAUCUUGAGUGCCGGAGAGGAAAGCGGAAUUCCUAGUGUAGCGGUGAAAUGCGUAGAUAUUAGGAGGAACACCAGUGGCGAAGGCGGCUUUCUGGACGGUAACUGACGCUGAGGCGCGAAAGCGUGGGGAGCAAACAGG
rnacentral:rRNA from 1 species